rnacentral:rRNA from 1 species
AGUGAACGCUGGCGGUAGGCCUAACACAUGCAAGUCGAACGGCAGCACAGUAAGAGCUUGCUCUUACGGGUGGCGAGUGGCGGACGGGUGGGGAAUACAUCGGAAUCUACUUUUUCGUGGGGGAUAACGUAGGGAAACUUACGCUAAUACCGCAUACGACCUACGGGUGAAAGCAGGGGAUCUUCGGACCUUGCGCGAUUGAAUGAGCCGAUGUCGGAUUAGCUAGUUGGCGGGGUAAAGGCCCACCAAGGCGACGAUCCGUAGCUGGCCUGAGAGGAUGAUCAGCCACACUGGAACUGAGACACGGUCCAGACUCCUACGGGAGGCAGCAGUGGGGAAUAUUGGACAAUGGGCGCAAGCCUGAUCCAGCCAUACCGCGUGGGUGAAGAAGGCCUUCGGGUUGUAAAGCCCUUUUGUUGGGAAAGAAAAGCAGCAGGUUAAUACCCCGCUGUUCUGACGGUACCCAAAGAAUAAGCACCGGCUAACUUCGUG